rnacentral:rRNA from 1 species
AGGACGAACGCUGGCGGCGUGCUUAACACAUGCAAGUCGAACGGAAAGGCCCGCUUGCGGGUACUCGAGUGGCGAACGGGUGAGUAACACGUGGGCAACCUGCCCUCAGCUUCGGGAUAACACUUGGAAACAGGUGCUAAUACUGGAUAAUAACGGUGCAUCGCAUGGUGUGUUGUUCAAAGUUUUUCGGCUGAGGAUGGGCCCGCGGCCUAUCAGCUUGUUGGUGGGUAAUGGCCUACCAAGGCGACGACGGGUA